rnacentral:rRNA from 1 species
CCUACGGGUGGCUGCAGUGGGGAAUAUUGGACAAUGGGCGAAAGCCUGAUCCAGCCAUGCCGCGUGUGUGAAGAAGGCCUUCGGGUUGUAAAGCACUUUCAGUGGGGAAGAAAGCCUUGGGGCUAAUACCCUCGAGGAAGGACAUCACCCACAGAAGAAGCACCGGCUAACUCCGUGCCAGCAGCCGCGGUAAUACGGAGGGUGCGAGCGUUAAUCGGAAUUACUGGGCGUAAAGCGCGCGUAGGCGGUCUGAUAAGCCGGUUGUGAAAGCCCCGGGCUCAACCUGGGAACGGCAUCCGGAACUGUCAGGCUAGAGUGCAGGAGAGGAAGGUAGAAUUCCCGGUGUAGCGGUGAAAUGCGUAGAGAUCGGGAGGAAUACCAGUGGCGAAGGCGGCCUUCUGGACUGACACUGACGCUGAGGUGCGAAAGCGUGGGUAGCAAACAGGAUUAGAUCCCUAGUAGUC